rnacentral:SRP_RNA from 1 species
GGUCAGGUCAUACGCAACAGAAACUCGCAAACCCCGUCAGGACCGGAAGGUAGCAGCGGUAGUGGGAUCUUCUGUGUGCCGUAUUUCCCCUGAUUGGA